rnacentral:rRNA from 1 species
CCUGGCUCAGGACGAACGCUGGCGGCGUGCCUAAUACAUGCAAGUGGAACGCAUGAUGGAUACCGGAGCUUGCUCCACCAUUCAUUAUGAGUCGCGAACGGGUGAGUAAUGCGUAGGUAACCUACCUUCUAGCGGGGGAUAACUAUUGGAAACGAUAGCUAAUACCGCAUGACAAUGAAGUACACAUGUACUUGAUUUAAAAGGAGCAAUAGCUUCACUAGGAGAUGGACCUGCGUUGUAUUAGCUAGUUGGUAGGGUAACGGCCUACCAAGGCUUCGAUACAUAGCCGACCUGAGAGGGUGAUCGGCCACACUGGGACUGAGACACGGCCCAGACUCCUACGGGAGCAGCAGUAGGGAAUCUUCGGCAAUGGGGGGAACCCUGACCGAGCAACGCCGCGUGAGUGAAGAAGGUUUUCGGAUCGUAAAGCUCUGUUGUAAGAGAAGAACGUGUGUGAGAGUGGAAAGUUCACUACAGUGACGGUAACUUACCAGAAAGGGACGGCUAACUACGUGACCGAG